UCUGCCUCGUUAAGAUUCUAAGAUUAGUAGUUUAACCCUAAAAUCUGUAAAAUUAAAGGGAUUCAUUACCACUCUGCCUCAUUAAGAUUCUAAGAUUAGGGUUUUUAUUUCCGAAAAAAAUCGCAACAUCAUUUUGAUAACGAUUAAUUUUACAGGUUUUAGGGCUCACGAGGUCUCUAUAUAUGCCAUACAGCUCUUUCUCUCGCUAACCAUUUAAUUUCGGAUUUUUACGCUCUUAUUUCUGGGUUUUUGUUUUGUUCUCAAUGAAGUUGCACAUAGUUCUGCUAAAAAUCAAGCAUUAUCACUGCAAUGGUUUUAUAGCUUUUAUCUGUGCAAACAAAAAAACUUAGGUGCCUCACUGCUUGAAAAUUCUUCUUCGAUAGCGAAGUGGAGGAUUUUUCAAUGAAGAGGCCCACAUUGCAUUACAGGGUUUCGAUUAACAGGUUCUUUCAGAACUAUCUUUUUAGCCGCAUUCUCUUUUGCUAGUUUUUUCCUCUUUCGUUUUGGAUUCAAAGUUAUAAUUUUAAUUUGGUGUCUAGUUGUACAUCACGAUCACAUGAUAAACAUGCUGUAUGCGUCUUAGCGUUUUGGAAAUAUAAGUCCUGGAUAUAUCCUACCAGCUUUUAUUUAUAAAAAAAUACCGUGCGCUGCUUUUCGCAUCAAAUUUCCAUUGUUAUUGGUUGUUUUGACCUGGUUGCACAAGGGGCAUGCUUUGAAACACAUUAUAGAAAGUUUCACCUUCUAUCUCGAUUUUUUUUGUUUUUUUUAUUUGUAAACUUUUUUAAUCAUGUUAUGUUGUGUUUGAUUUAGUGUGCUUCUUGUGGGUUAGGGUUUGUAUUGGUUAGUAUCGUGUUAUGUAUUCUCCUAUAUUUUUUAUGUAUUAAACAACAGCAGACAGUAUCUUAAUGAUAUGCAGAUCAUUUACACAUAAAUGCAGAGGUCAUUCUGAGGGCACCAAAACUACUUAGAUGUUAGGUUAGACAAGCUGAUUGAGAAGUGAAAAACAUAACUACUACCAUUACAGAUGCCUAAUACAUAUCUCUGAGGGUACCAAAACUACUUAGAUGUUAGGUUAGACAAGCUGAUUGAGAAGUGAAAAACAUAACUACUACCAUAACAGAUGCCUAAUCCAUACCCUGCUAUUAACAACUGAUAACGUUUAUUGUUCUUCAUACUCCCCCAUUAUGAGCUUGUGAAUAAAAACAAGUAAAAGAUAUUCAUUAGUUUAUCCCAUUUCUCCUCCAUAAUGUACAUUGGGAAGAAGACUAAGUAAACUAUGAAGUGAUUGAAAGAUUUGAACAAGGGAGCCUGUGAAAUAUUAGCAAUGUGUUGUUGUGCGACAAUAUAUGAGUUCAACCGAGCCUUGUUGAACCAACUAAUGGAUGUAGUGCUUAGUUUUGUCAUGGAACACUGGAUUUUUACUUAAUUUGAAUAGUAUUCUGUCUGUGACAAUACAGCAGUGGGACCAUUCUGUUGUUGCUGUAGGUAUUUAUCAUCCUUAUCAACCAAACAGCUUGACAAGCACAGUAGAAGUGGCAGUUUUCUAUUCUGAAAGGGAUAUAAUGGGUUGUUUCUUGAAUGUCUAGGAAAUGAUCAUAGAAUGAAGAUGGAGUGUAUAAUUGGAAGUAGGAUUCUGAUCACCUCUCAUUCUUCUCAACCAAACAGCUUGACAAGCAGCAGGAGUGGCAGUUUUGUAUUCAGCAUUUCUCUCAGAAGGAGAUAUGGUGGGUUGUUUCUUGGAUGUGUAGGGAAUGCUAUAUAGAAUGAAGAUUAAAUGUAUAAGUGGAAGUAGAGCUCUCAACAUCUAUCCAAUCAAAACCAUUAUGUUCAACCAAUUUACUCACCUUGGAAUACUGAAAAUAGAUACAGUAAUGUUGGGUGCCUCAAAGAUAUGUGACAAUUAGCAGCACUCCAAGGUGUUUCCUUAAGUUUUGACAUGAGCUUAGAUAUUAGGCUUACAACAUACGUGAUAUUUGGUCAAAUAGUGAGAACAUCCAACUAGUUAUUUACAGAGUAGGACUAAUAGGAGAAUUAUCAGGAUUGUACAAGUUUAACUCCAACUUCCAUAGGCGUGGCCAAGGGAAAUACGUCAUUUUGUAUGUUGUCAACUUCAAGGACAAGAAAAUAAUGUAUCUGUUAUAAAUCUAAAUUUCAAAAUUUUAAACUGUAGUUUUUCUAAAUUCAGAAAAUAAAGAGGAUUUAACAUUCAUUUGAUAAUCGUUCCAUCCAUUUUGAGUUUUAAAAAAACAAGACUAAUCUAACAAUAUCCAUUUUGGCCUUUUAUCAUGAGUAUAUUGUGCCUUUUCAUCAAAUGCAUUUCUAUUUAUGAGUAUAUUUUUACCUACAGAAUCAUACUAUCUUAAGCGUUGUUUUUAAGAACCAUAACCAAUAAAAAUGCACUUGUAAGUAUUUUUCAUCCAACUCUGUUCUUUAUUCAUAAGUACAUGUGCAUAAGAAACACAACGAAGCUUGUUUACGAAUCAUUCCAUGAAUUGCUUUUUUGGGACUUCUAUUCAACGAUUGCCUCUGUAAAAACUUUUCUCUAGGUUCUUUUUUUCAUUAUGUUUCAGCUAUUUCAACAGUAGUUUUAUUAUUCCUCUUAGCAACUUUGUUUUACUGUGGAUUUAGUAAGUGGUAAACUCUCUUUGAAUCUCUUUGAAUCCCAUUUUGUCUAUAGAAAUAGAAAAUUACAUUUGACCUAUGCACUCAACCCAUGAUAUGAUAUUAUGACCUUAAUACAUUGACCACUUUUUAAUUCAACGCUCUCAUUAAAAAUUCUCUGAUUUAAACUCUUUGAAUCCCAUGUUGUCUAUAGAAAUAAAAAAUUACAUUUGACCUAUGCUCUUCCCUAUUAUCUGAUUUGAUUAUCUUAAUAUAUUGACACUUAUUUUUUCAGCAACUGUUUGAAAUCAACCAUCUUAUUAAAAACUUUCCGUUUAAUCAGCCUAUCAGUAUAUCAAAGGUUUAUGAGAAAAAUCAGUAAUUAAAGUUAUAGGGAAUACUUAGAUUUAUUUAGUGAGAAAGUUGCCAUAGGACAACAAUCAAAAAAGUAAUGCAAUGCUGUUUUUCAAACAAACAUUGUUCACUAGGUUCCUUUUUAUUUUUGGUUUGAGGUUUCAAUUUUUUUUUAGGUUGACCCAUUUGGUACAAUUGAACGGAGCUAAUACUUCUAUCCCUUCUUUCAAAGGCAUAGUGUAGAGUGGUAACUAACUGUACCUUCACAAUAUUAACCCGAGCAUUCUACUUGUGACAUACCUUGACUAUCUUAUAGACAUUCUUCUUAUUUGGGUAUUGUGACCGACGCUUCUGAUGCUGCUUGUGACUGAUCAAUAUUAUAUGGUCAUUUCUAGUGAGCUAUUUUCCUGCAGUUUUUUUUCUGAAUUUUAGUCUUUUAUAUAGUAUAUUGUAGACAAUGAACAGAUAGAAUGAGUUUUCUCGAAGUUGACAUGUAGAUUAGAAUUGUGGCUAGUGAGUCGGCAAAAUUGAAAACAGGUAUCAUAUUUUUGUUUAAUGCUAUUUGAUUGUGGUAAAUAUCAUGGUAAAAGACUUGUCUGGAUAUAUGUACCCAGCGAACUCAGUUUAUCUUUACAGGAGCAAUAUUUGCAUCUGCUUGUACCUAACUGCUACUUGAAAGUUUUAGAUAUUUAUGAGCAUCUACAUGAUCUUUUCUGUCUAUCUCAACGUGGCCGGUGUAUUAAAAACCAUAUCCCCUUCAUCUCUUAUACCUGUCUGGCUGGUGUAUUGAGGAAACUGGCAAUUGGCAAUUGGUAGAAAGGGGUUUAUUUGAGAGAAAUAUUAUUAAUCGUCAUUCUAAUAUUCAUAUGCUUGAAAUGUAACUGUGGAAAAUAAUAUGCAGAGUUCCAUACAGGAGCGAAAUUAAUAAACUUAAUUUCAAACUCAAACAGUGUGUCAGCAUUUACUUAGCUAGAAAUCACACUUAACCUGCAAAUUACAGGUAUUUGUAAAGAGUAUACACAAUCGAGUGGAUAAUUUGAGGUUUAGGUUGAUAGUGUAUAAUGACAGUUUCCCCUCCUUUUGAAUGAGUGGGCAUUAAAAUAUGUUAAAUAUUCUAAGAAAACCCAAAUGCUGAAAUUCAAGGACAACCAAAUCUCUAAAUGCUAGUUAAAUAACCAGUUGCUUUAAGCAAAAAGGAACAGCAAUGCAGAAGAGUGCUACACAGCAGUUAAGUUGAUUUAGGGGGACGCUAGAUGCAUCUUCUUGCAUGGACUGCUAUGCAUGAAUUGAGAGAGAAUUCUGUGGUACACAAGCAUAAUAUAAACAUGAGAUGUGCGUUACAUAGCUACCAAGCUGUCUUUAUUGUUUAGCUCUUGAUCAUGAAAGUUGGUAGAUUCUAUAUGAACCUCAAGAUCUAAUUUUUGUUUUGUUUUUUAUUAUGAACAUGGCCUAGCGGACUAUAAACUUUGUUUAAAUUCAAAGGGAAAAAGCCGCUCUCGAAUGGAGGGCCAGAACUAUCUAAAGGAUCUAUCAAUGCUGGAAGAAGGUGUUGCUCCAGUUGCAUAUGUUUUGAGAAACUCAAAAUCCCAUUUAGCUUGGUGUUUGUAAAGAGCGUCAUUCUGACCUCUAGCAGGUUUUAUGAAUGGUAUAUCCAGGGACUUGAGAAAGCUAUGUUGUGCUCAGGACAUAUUGCAAAUAUCCCUAGGUGUGAAGGGAGCCCAAAACCAGUUACUGUGGCAUUGCUGUUUGAUCAACAAAACAUUCACACAUCUCUGUUAAACUUGUAUCUGUGAGUGGUUGAUAGGAAGCUCUCCCUGAGAGUUAUGUUGAUGGCGUGACGUAUAAUAGCAGCAGUAGCCUUGAAGACUUUUUUUAGUCUUGAAUCUGUUGGAUCUCCUGAGAAGGUGGUCUGCCUCUUUUUUGGCUCCGGUCUAACCAAUGUAUCCAGUUUGCUGAUCUUCAGAAACUGUUUGAAAUGGAAUGAGAAUGAGGUAUUUAUAGACAUCAGGUGGUUGCUGGAUACAUGUUUUAUGAUGAUUCGGAUGCCUAAAGUUUUGCAGAGGGAGGAUUCCUGCACUGCAUUCUCUUGUGCCAAAGGUAGCCAUCACCACCUUCUCAUGAGUGAACCCCGCAAGUUGUGGAAGGUGUGGUAAAUGGAUAGAUCUAGAUUAUGCUACGUUCUUUCGGAGUUGUGGACUAGGCCUUCUCUCUUUAUAAACAUGCCUAAUGGUAAAGGCUGUGAGAGAUUCAAGUAGGAGCCAACAUUGCCUUAAGAUGUUAUAAUUUUCCUAUUUGGGAAUCUUUUCUUCCUUCCAGUUAACGAUGACUGUUGAAUCUUCUUCUGUUUGAACUUGCCUGGCAACAAAUUGUCCAAAAAUUUGCAAUCUAAGGAGAAGUGCCUCGAAUUCAUUUCA